GAUGAACGCUAGCGGCAGGCUUAAUACAUGCAAGUCGUGGGGCAGCAUGAAUGUAGCAAUACAUUUGAUGGCGACCGGCAAACGGGUGCGGAACACGUACACAACCUUCCUAUAAGUGGGGAAUAGCCCAGAGAAAUUUGGAUUAAUACCCCGUAACAUAACGAUGUGGCAUCACAUUGUUAUUAUAGCUUCGGCGCUUAUUGAUGGGUGUGCGGCUGAUUAGAUAGUUGGCGGGGUAACGGCCCACCAAGUCUACGAUCAGUAGCUGAUGGGAGAGCAUGAUCAGCCACACGGGCACUGAGACACGGGCCCGACUCCUACGGGAGGCAGCAGUAAGGAAUAUUGGUCAAUGGACGCAAGUCUGAACCAGCCAUGCCGCGUGAAGGAUUAAGGUCCUCUGGAUUGUAAACUUCUUUUAUCUGGGACGAAAAAAGGCGAUUCUUCGUCACUUGACGGUACCAGAUGAAUAAGCACCGGCUAACUCCGUGCCAGCAGCCGCCGUAAUAC
rnacentral:rRNA from 1 species